AGGCCUGCAACUAUGCAGUCAGGAAGGAAAGAAGGAAAAACGGACUGAGAGAGAGAAAAAGUGAGGGUCUGCACGUCUCUCUCUUAUGUUAUCACUCACAGGACUUUCUUUCCUUUUCCUUU
rnacentral:ribozyme from 1 species